GACGAACGCUGGCGGCGUGCCUAAUACAUGCAAGUAGAACGCUGAAGAGAGGAGCUUGCUCUUCUUGGAUGAGUUGCGAACGGGUGAGUAACGCGUAGGUAACCUGCCUUGUAGCGGGGGAUAACUAUUGGAAACGAUAGCUAAUACCGCAUAACAAUGGAUGACCCAUGUCAUUUAUUUGAAAGGGGCAAAUGCUCCACUACAAGAUGGACCUGCGUUGUAUUAGCUAGUAGGUGAGGUAACGGCUCACCUAGGCGACGAUACAUAGCCGACCUGAGAGGGUGAUCGGCCACAAUGGGACUGAGACACGGCCCAGACUCCUACGGGAGGCAGCAGUAGGGAAUCUUCGGCAAUGGGGGCAACCCUGACCGAGCAACGCCGCGUGAGUGAAGAAGGUUUUCGGAUCGUAAAGCUCUGUUGUAAGUCAAGAACGAGUGUGAGAGUGGAAAGUUCACACUGUGACGGUAGCUGACCAGAAAGGGACGGCUAACUACGUG
rnacentral:rRNA from 1 species